rnacentral:rRNA from 1 species
AGACUGGGAUAACUUCGGGAAACCGGAGCUAAUACCGGAUAAUAUUUUGAACCGCAUGGUUCAAAAGUGAAAGACGGUCUUGCUGUCACUUAUAGAUGGAUCCGCGCUGCAUUAGCUAGUUGGUAAGGUAACGGCUUACCAAGGCAACGAUGCAUAGCCGACCUGAGAGGGUGAUCGGCCACACUGGAACUGAGACACGGUCCAGACUCCUACGGGAGGCAGCAGUAGGGAAUCUUCCGCAAUGGGCGAAAGCCUGACGGAGCAACGCCGCGUGAGUGAUGAAGGUCUUCGGAUCGUAAAACUCUGUUAUUAGGGAAGAACAUAUGUGUAAGUAACUGUGCACAUCUUGACGGUACCUAAUCAGAAAGCCACGGCUAACUACGUGCCAGCAGCCGCGGUAAUACGUAGGUGGCAAGCGUUAUCCGGAAUUAUUGGGCGUAAAGCGCGCGUAGGCGGUUUUUUAAGUCUGAUGUGAAAGCCCACGGCUCAACCGUGGAGGGUCAUUGGAAACUGGAAAACUUGAGUGCAGAAGAGGAAAGUGGAAUUCCAUGUGUAGCGGUGAAAUGCGCAGAGAUAUGGAGGAACACCAGUGGCGAAGGCGACUUUCUGGUCUGUAACUGACGCUGAUGUGCGAAAGCGUGGGGAUCAAACAGGAUUAGAUACCCUGGUAGUCCACGCCGUAAACGAUGAGUGCUAAGUGUUAGGGGGUUUCCGCCCCUUAGUGCUGCAGCUAACGCAUUAAGCACUCCGCCUGGGGAGUACGACCGCAAGGUUGAAACUCAAAGGAAUUGACGGGGACCCGCACAAGCGGUGGAGCAUGUGGUUUAAUUCGAAGCAACGCGAAGAACCUUACCAAAUCUUGACAUCCUUUGACAACUCUAGAGAUAGAGCCUUCCCCUUCGGGGGACAAAGUGACAGGUGGUGCAUGGUUGUCGUCAGCUCGUGUCGUGAGAUGUUGGGUUAAGUCCCGCAACGAGCGCAACCCUUAAGCUUAGUUGCCAUCAUUAAGUUGGGCACUCUAAGUUGACUGCCGGUGACAAACCGGAGGAAGGUGGGGAUGACGUCAAAUCAUCAUGCCCCUUAUGAUUUGGGCUACACACGUGCUACAAUGGACAAUACAAAGGGCAGCGAAACCGCGAGGUCAAGCAAAUCCCAUAAAGUUGUUCUCAGUUCGGAUUGUAGUCUGCAACUCGACUACAUGAAGCUGGAAUCGCUAGUAAUCGUAGAUCAGCAUGCUACGGUGAAUACGUUCCCGG